AAGAUCUUAAGUUAUUCAAACUAACAUCCUUCAAAGUUGUAAAAAAAAGACUCUCCUUUUAGAUCUUA
rnacentral:tRNA from 1 species